rnacentral:rRNA from 1 species
AGAGUUUGAUUAUGGCUCAGGAUGAACGCUGGCGGCGUGCUUAACACAUGCAAGUCGAACGGAAAGGCCUUGUGCUUGCACAGGGUACUCGAGUGGCGAACGGGUGAGUAACACGUGGGUGAUCUGCCCUGCACUGUGGGAUAAGCCUGGGAAACUGGGUCUAAUACCAUAUAGGACCGCAUCUUGGAUGGUGUGGUGGAAAGCUUUUGCGGUGUGGGAUGAGCCUGCGGCCUAUCAGCUUGUUGGUGGGGUAAUGGCCUACCAAGGCGGCGACGGGUAUCCGGCCUGAGAGGGUGUACGGACACAUUGGGACUGAGAUACGGCCCAGACUCCUACGGGAGGCAGCAGUGGGGAAUAUUGCACAAUGGGCGCAAGCCUGAUGCAGCGACGCCGCGUGGGGGAUGAAGGCCUUCGGGUUGUAAGCUCCUUUCGCUAUCGACGAAGCCUUCGGGUGACGGUAGGUAGAUAAGAAGCACCGGCUAACUACGUGCCAGCAGCCGCGGUAAUACGUAGGGUGCAAGCGUUGUCCGGAAUUACUGGGCGUAAAGAGCUCGUAGGUGGUUUGUCGCGUCGUCUGUGAAAUCCCGGGGCUUAACUUCGGGCGUGCAGGCGAUACGGGCAUAACUUGAGUGCUGUAGGGGAGACUGGAAUUCCUGGUGUAGCGGUGAAAUGCGCAGAUAUCAGGAGGAACACCGAUGGCGAAGGCAGGUCUCUGGGCAGUUACUGACGCUGAGGAGCGAAAGCAUGGGUAGCGAACAGGAUUAGAUACCCUGGUAGUCCAUGCCGUAAACGGUGGGCGCUAGGUGUAGGGGGCUUCCACGUCUUCUGUGCCGUAAGCUAACGCAUUAAGCGUCCCGCCUGGGGAG